ACUAUAUCUGGUAUUCAAGGUUCUUCCGAUUCUGUCGGAAGCGAAGAUGGGAAUACGGUGCGCGAAGCCAGCGAUGGUGGAGCAAUGCCGCAGCUGCCCCCGCAACUGUAAGCGGCGAGCAUUCUCUCAGCAGCCACUGAAACAUAAGGUUUCGGGAAGGCGAGAUGAAUGUGACGACCCGCGAGCCAGGAGACCUGCCUUGAGUCAGUACGUCCA
rnacentral:ncRNA from 2 species